rnacentral:rRNA from 1 species
UGAAUACGAGACGCUAAGGCGUCGAAGUAGUGUAUGUCAUACUUCCAAGAAAAGCUUGCACUGUCAUAGAUAAAAAACGCCUGUACCAUAACCGACACAGGUGGGUAGGUAGAGUAUACUAAGGGGCGCGAGAUAACUCUCUCUAAGGAACUCGGCAAAAUAACUCCGUAACUUCGGGAGAAGGAGUGCCUUAUUCUUAAGGUUGCAAUAACAAGAUCCAAGCAACUGUUUAUCAAAAACACAGGUCUCCGCUAAGUCGUAAGACGAUGUAUGGGGGCUGACGCCUGCCCAGUGCCAGAAGGUUAAGGAAGCUGGUUAGCAUUUGCGAAGCUAGUAACUGAAGCCCUGGUGAACGGCGGCCGUAACGAUAACGGUCCUAAGGUAGCGAAAUUCCUUGUCGGGUAAGUUCCGACCCGCACGAAAGGCGUAAUGAUUUGGAUACUGUCUCGGAGAGGGGCUCGGUGAAAUAGACCUGUCUGUGAAGAUGCGGACUACCUGCACCAGGACAGAAAGACCCUAUGAAGCUUUACUGUAACUUGAAAUUGAAAUUGGACUUUAUUUGCGCAGUAUAGGUGGGAGGCGUUGAUUAUAAUCUUGCGGGAUUAUUGGAGCCAUUAGUGAGAUACCACUCUUGUAAUGUUAGAUUUCUAACUUUGAAUCAUUAUCUGGUCAAAGAACAGUUUCAGGCGGGCAGUUUGACUGGGGCGGUCGCCUCCUAAACGGUAACGGAGGCGUACAAAGGUUUCCUCUGAACGGUUAGAAAUCGUAUCUAGAGUGUAAAGGCAUAAGGAAGCUUGACUGUGAGACCUACAAGUCGAGCAGGGACGAAAGUCGGUCUUAGUGAUCUGACGGUACUGAGUGGAAAGGACGUCACUCAACGGAUAAAAGUUACUCUAGGAUAACAGGCUGAUCUCCCCCAAGAGUUCACAUCGACGGGGAGGUUUGGCACCUCGAUGUCGGCUCAUCGCAUCCUGGGGCGGUAGUACGUCCCAAGGGUUGGGCUGUUCGCCCAUGAAAGCGGUACGCGAGCUGGGUUCAGAACGUCGUGAGACAGUUCGGUCCAUAUCCGGUGUAGGCGUUAGAAUAUUGAGAGGAGCCUUCUUUAGUACGAGAGGACCGAGAAGGACAUACCUCUGGUGUACCAGUUAUCGUGCCAACGGUAAACGCUGGGUAGCUAUGUAUGGAGUGGAUAACCGCUGAAAGCAUCUAAGUGGGAAGCCCACCUCAAGAUAAGUAUUCUC